rnacentral:rRNA from 1 species
AGUGAACGCUGGCGGUAGGCCUAACACAUGCAAGUCGAACGGCAGCACAGUAAGAGCUUGCUCUUACGGGUGGCGAGUGGCGGACGGGUGAGGAAUACAUCGGAAUCUACUUUUUCGUGGGGGAUAACGUAGGGAAACUUACGCUAAUACCGCAUACGACCUACGGGUGAAAGCAGGGGAUCUUCGGACCUUGCGCGAUUGAAUGAGCCGAUGUCGGAUUAGCUAGUUGGCGGGGUAAAGGCCCACCAAGGCGACGAUCCGUAGCUGGUCUGAGAGGAUGAUCAGCCACACUGGAACUGAGACACGGUCCAGACUCCUACGGGAGGCAGCAGUGGGGAAUAUUGGACAAAGGGCGCAAGCCUGAUCCAGCCAUACCGCGUGGGUGAAGAAGGCCUUCGGGUUGUAAAGCCCUUUUGUUGGGAAAGAAGGGCAGCAGGUUAAUACCCCGCUGUUCUGACGGUACCCAAAGAAUAAGCACCGGCUAACUUCGUG